AACGAACGCUGGCGGCAUGCCUAACACAUGCAAGUCGAACGAGACCUUCGGGUCUAGUGGCGCACGGGUGCGUAACGCGUGGGAACCUGCCCUUAGGUUCGGAAUAACUCCCCGAAAGGGGUGCUAAUACCGGAUAAUGUCUUCGGACCAAAGAUUUAUCGCCUUUGGAUGGGCCCGCGUUGUAUUAGCUAGUUGGUAGGGUAAAAGCCUACCAAGGCGACGAUCCAUAGCUGGUCUGAGAGGAUGAUCAGCCACACUGGGACUGAGACACGGCCCAGACUCUUACGGGAAGCAGCAGUGGGGAAUAUUGGACAAUGGGCGAAAGGCUGAUCCAGCAAUGACGCGUGAGUGAUGAAGGCCUUAGGGUUGUAAAGCUCUUUUACCCGGGAUGAUAAUGACAGUACCGGGAGAAUAAGCUCCGGCUAACUCCGUG
rnacentral:rRNA from 1 species